rnacentral:rRNA from 1 species
CAGCCGCCACGGGAAUACGAAGGGGGCUAGCGUUGCUCGGAAUGACUGGGCGUAAAGGGCGCGUAGGCGGCGGCCAAAGUCAGGCGUGAAAUUCCCGGGCUCAACCUGGGGGCUGCGUUCGAUACUUGGUUGCUUGAGUGGGGAAGAGGGUCGUGGAAUUCCCAGUGUAGAGGUGAAACUCGUAGAUAUUGGGAAGAACACCGGUGGCGAAGGCGGCGACCUGGUCCUUGACUGACGCUGAGGCGCGAAAGCGUGGGGAGCAAACAGGAUUAGAGACCCGUGUAGUCCCUGUCUCUUAUAC